UGGAAAUCUGUCGAAACACACGAAGG
rnacentral:piRNA from 1 species